rnacentral:rRNA from 1 species
CCUACGGGAUGCAGCAGUAGGGAAUCUUGGACAAUGGGCGGAAGCCUGAUCCAGCCAUGCCGCGUGAGUGAUGAAGGCCCUAGGGUUGUAAAGCUCUUUCAGUGGUGAAGAUAAUGACGGUAACCACAGAAGAAGCCCCGGCUAACUUCGUGCCAGCAGCCGCGGUAAUACGAAGGGGGCUAGCGUUGUUCGGAAUUACUGGGCGUAAAGCGCGCGUAGGCGGAUUGAUCAGUCAGGGGUGAAAUCCCGGGGCUCAACCCCGGAACUGCCUUUGAUACUGUCAAUCUAGAGGUCGAGAGAGGUGAGUGGAAUUCCGAGUGUAGAGGUGAAAUUCGUAGAUAUUCGGAGGAACACCAGUGGCGAAGGCGGCUCACUGGCUCGAACCUGACGCUGAGGUGCGAAAGUGUGGGGAGCAAACAGGAUUAGAUACCCGAGUAGUC